rnacentral:tRNA from 1 species
AGGGCUAUAGCUCAGUUAGGUAGAGCACCUCGUUUACACAAGAGCGUGGAGGUUCGAGUCCGUAUAGCCCUA